AGUGAACGCUGGCGGUAGGCCUAACACAUGCAAGUCGAACGGCAGCACAGGAGAGCUUGCUCUCUGGGUGGCGAGUGGCGGACGGGUGAGGAAUACAUCGGAAUCUACUCUGUCGUGGGGGAUAACGUAGGGAAACUUACGCUAAUACCGCAUACGACCUACGGGUGAAAGCAGGGGACCUUCGGGCCUUGCGCGAUUGAAUGAGCCGAUGUCGGAUUAGCUAGUUGGCGGGGUAAAGGCCCACCAAGGCGACGAUCCGUAGCUGGUCUGAGAGGAUGAUCAGCCACAGUGGAACUGAGCAACGGUCCAGACUCCUACGGGAGGCAGCAGUGGGGAAUAUUGGACAAUGGGCGCAAGCCUGAUCCAGCCAUACCGCGUGGGUGAAGAAGGCCUUCGGGUUGUAAAGCCCUUUUGUUGGGAAAGAAAUCCAGCUGGCUAAUACCCGGUUGGGAUGACGGUACCCAAAGAAUAAGCACCGGCUAACUUCGUGCCAGCCGCCGCGGUAA
rnacentral:rRNA from 1 species